CAGACCUGAAAUCAGGCGAGGUUACCCGCUGAACUUAAGCGUAUUAUUAAGCGGAGGAGAAGAAAAUAACUAUGAUUCCCUUAGUAACGGCGAGUGAACCGGGAUCAGCUCAAAGUGGAAAUCAACUGCUCUUUCCGAGCUGUUGGCUUGUAGCCUCGAGAGGCGUUACCAGUGGAAGCGCAGGGUUAAGUUUCUUGGGAAAGAACAUCAUAGAGGGUGAGAAUCCCGUCCUUCCCCUGCGUUUUUUGUUCCACGUACGGUACGCUUUUAUAGAGUCGCGUUCAUCGGGAUUUGAGCGCAAAAUGUGUGGUAGGUUUCACAUAAAGCUAAGUACUGGCGCGAGACCGAUAGCAAACAAGUACCGUGAGGGAAAGAUGAAAAGUUCUUUGGAAAGAGAGUUAAAAGUGCCUGAAAUUGCUGAAAAGGAAGCGAUUGGGACCUUUUUGAUUCCAAGAAGUGCCGCCGGUUUGCCAUCUAUCCCUUUGCCUUCUCUCUCUCACCAGGUUUAGGCUUUGGUUUCUUGAUGUAUUUCCGGUUCAUCUUUUUGGAGAGGUCAGCAUCAGCUACUCGGAAUUGAUUUCGUUCAAAGAAGGUAGGUUCCUUGUGGACCGUUAUAUCUUUGUUCUUUCCUUUUCCUUGUGGCUGAGGAGUGUUCCUGUUUCCGAGCUCCACUUUCGAGUACUCGGUUUCUGUGAUGCUGGCUUAAUCGGUUCCAACCGACCCGUCUUGAAACACGGACCAAGGAGUCUAACAUAUGUGCGAGUAUGCGGGUUUUACUCCUGUAUGCGCAAUGAAAGUGAGAGUAGGGAGAUUUUGGCUUUGCCAUUCUUCGCACCUACGACCGACCACGAUCUCUGAGAGAGGUUUGAGUUGGAGCAUAUCUGUUAGGACCCCGAAGAUGGUGAACUAUGCCUGAGUAGAAUGAAGUCAGGGGAAACCCUGAUGGAGGGUCGUAGCGAUACUGACGUGCAAAUCGUUCGUCAAACUUGG